CAACUUGGGCUGCAAUCUUGAUGUGCGGGGAUAGAUAUUCCAUCUUGAGAGGAUUUUAACUGAGAAUAUCUAUUCCCGUACGUCAAGAUUGCAAUCCUGAUUGC